GAUGAACGCUGGCGGCGUGCCUAAUACAUGCAAGUCGAGCGAACGGACGAGAAGCUUGCUUCUCUGAUGUUAGCGGCGGACGGGUGAGUAACACGUGGAUAACCUACCUAUAAGACUGGGAUAACUUCGGGAAACCGGAGCUAAUACCGGAUAAUAUUUUGAACCGCAUGGUUCAAAAGUGAAAGACGGUCUUGCUGUCACUUAUAGAUGGAUCCGCGCUGCAUUAGCUAGUUGGUAAGGUAACGGCUUACCAAGGCAACGAUGCAUAGCCGACCUGAGAGGGUGAUCGGCCGCACUGGAACUGAGACACGGUCCAGACUCCUACGGGAGGCAGCAGUAGGGAAUCUUCAGCAAUGGGCGAAAGCCUGACGGAGCAACGCCGCGUGAGUGAUGAAGGUCUUCGGAUCGUAAAACUCUGUUAUUAGGGAAGAACAUAUGUGUAAGUAACUGUGCACAUCUUGACGGUACCUAAUCAGAAAGCCACGGCUAACUACGUG
rnacentral:rRNA from 1 species